rnacentral:rRNA from 1 species
GUCUAUAGCCAUGCCACCCUGAACAAGCCUGAUUCUGUCUUGGAAGCUAAGCAGGGUCGGGUCUGGUUAGUACUUGGAUGGGAGACCACCUAGGAAGACCAGGUGCUAUAGGCA